rnacentral:rRNA from 1 species
AUUGAACGAUGGCGGCAGGCCUAACACAUGCAAGUCGAACGAGUGGCGGACGGGUGAGUAAUGUCUGGGAAACUGCCCGAUGGAGGGGGAUAACUACUGGAAACGGUAGCUAAUACCGCAUACCAUCGGAUGUGCCCAGAUGGGAUUAGCUAGUAGGUGGGGUAAAGGCUCACCUAGGCGACGAUCCCUAGCUGGUCUGAGCGGAUGACCAGCCACACGGUAACUGAGACACGGUCCAGACUCCGCCGGAAGGCAGCAGUGGGGAAUAUUGCACAAUGGGCGCAAUCUUGAGGCAGCCAUGCCGCGUGUAGGAAGAAGGCCUUCGGGUUGUAAAGCACUUUCAGCGGGGAGGCGUUACCCGCAGAAGAAGCACCGGCUAACUCCGUGCCAGCAGCCGCGGUAAUUC